ensembl:miRNA mdo-mir-7284b mdo-mir-7284b
ACUGGCGUAUAGUUGGUAAUCAGUUAAGAAACAUUUAUAAAUUACCAACUAUACGCUAGUGC